rnacentral:rRNA from 1 species
GAUGAACGCUGGCGGCGUGCCUAAUACAUGCAAGUCGAGCGAACGGACGCUAAUCUUGCUUCUCUCAUGUUAGCAGCGGACGGGUGAGUAACACGUGGUUUACCCACCUAUAAGACUUAGAUAACUUCGGGUAACUGUAGCUCAUACCGGAUAAUAUUUUGAGCCUCAUGGUUCAAAAGUUUAAGACGUUCUUGCUGUCACUUAUAGAUGUAUCCGCGCUGUAUUAGUUAGUUGGUACGGUAACGGCUUACCAAGGCAACGAUGCAUAGCCGACCUGGGAGAGGGAACGCGCACAGAGGAACUGAGACACGAUACAGAGUCCUACGGGAGGCAGAAGUAGGUAAUCUUCCGAAAUGGGCGAAAUACUGACGAAGCGGCGCAGCGUGGGUGAUGAGGGUCUGCGGAGCGUAAGACUCUGUUAUUGGGGAAGAACAUAUGUGUAAGUGACUGUGCACAUCUUGACGGUACCUAGUCAGAAAGCCACGGCUAACUACGUG